rnacentral:rRNA from 1 species
GACGAACGCUGGCGGCGUGCCUAAUACAUGCAAGUCGAACGCUGAAGGAGGAGCUUGCUUCUCCGGAUGAGUUGCGAACGGGUGAGUAACGCGUAGGUAACCUGCCUGGUAGCGGGGGAUAACUUUUGGAAAGGAAACUUAUUCCCGCAUAACAUUAGAUGUUCAAUGAAAUUUGCUUAAAGGUUGCAUUUGCAUCACUACCAGAUGGCCCUGCGUUGUUUUAGCUAGUUGGGGAGGGAAGGGCUCACCAAGGCGACGAGACAUAGCCGGCCUGAGAGGGUGAUCGGCCACACUGGGACUGAGACACGGCCCAGACUCCUACGGGAGGCAGCAGGAGGGAAUCUUCGGCAAUGGACGGAAGUCUGACCGAGCAACGCCGCGUGAGUGAAGAAGGGUUUCGGAUCGUAAAGCUCGGUUGUAAGAGAAGAACGAGUGUGAGAGUGGAAAGUUCACACUGUGACGGUAGCUUACCAGAAAGGGACGGCUAACUACGUG